GAUGAAUGCUGGCGGCGUGCCUAACACAUGCAAGUCGAGCGGCAGCGAGGGGUGCUUGCACCCUGUCGGCGAGCGGCGAACGGCUGAGUAACGCGUAGGAAUUUGCCCCAAAGUGAGGAAUAACUGCCCGAAAGGGUAGCUAAUGCCGCAUAUGGUCUUCGGAUUAAAGGAUUUAUCCGCUUUGGGAGAAGCCUGCAUUGGAUUAGGUUGUUGGUAGGGUAAUGGCCUACCAAGACGACGAUCCAUAGCUGGUCUGAGAGGAUGAUCAGCCAGACUGGAACUGAGACACGGUCCAGACUCCUACGGGAGGCAGCAGUGAGGAAUCUUCCACAAUGGGCGAAAGCCUGAUGGAGCAACGUCGCGUGAAGGAUGAAGGCCUUCGGGUUGUAAACUUCUUUUAUGAGUGAAGAAUAUGACGGUAACUCAUGAAUAAGCACCGGCUAACUACGUG
rnacentral:rRNA from 1 species